rnacentral:rRNA from 1 species
UAGCAAGAAAGUUGCUUGGAUUAAAUUUCUCGAAACCUAAAGAGUUACCUUAGUUUUGGUUUAGCCUAAUUGAAUAGUGGGUGUGGCAAAACUCUGUUUAAAAGUUAAGGUAGAAAUUAAAUGUUAUUCGUUUUAGGUGAUAGCUAGUUGUGAUAGAAAAAUAUAUAAGUAUUGGUUACAAUAAUUACUAUAUGUUUGUAUUAUACAUAUAAUGAUUUGUUUUCUUAGUUGUAUGAGGAUAAGCUCGUAUAAAGUUUGUUAGCUAAAAAUAUUAUAUAAAUCUAAGCUUGAUAUUAGCUAUGAUAAUGAAUUUGUUAAAAAUGCAUAUAGGUAUAUAUUUAUAUUAUAUUAGAUUAAUAUCAUUUAAUUAUGUAAUCAAAAUAUAAUUGGUUUAUGCUAAAAUGAGUAUUAAUUACAAGUUAAAAUUAAGAACAAGUUAAAUUAUUCUACUUACAAUUUCGUAUGUAUUAUAAAAUAUAUUUUAGGAAUUCGGCAAAACUUAGCUUCGCCUGUUUAGCAAAAACAUGUCUCUUUG